rnacentral:rRNA from 1 species
AGUGAACGCUGGCGGUAGGCCUAACACAUGCAAGUCGAACGGCAGCACAGUAAGAGCUUGCUCUUACGGGUGGCGAGUGGCGGACGGGUGAGGAAUACAUCGGAAUCUACUUUUUCGUGGGGGAUAACGUAGGGAAACUUACGCUACUACCGAAUACGACCUACGGGUGAAAGCAGGGGAUAUUCGGACUUUGCGCGAUUGAAUGAGCCGAUUUCGGAUUAGCUAGUUGGCGGGGUAAAGGCCCACCAAGGCGACGAUCCGUAGCUGGUCUGAGAGGAUGAUCAGCCACACUGGAACUGAGACACGGUCCAGACUCCUACGGGAGGCAGCAGUGGGGAAUAUUGGACAAUGGGCGCAAGCCUGAUCCAGCCAUACCGCGUGGGUGAAGAAGGCCUUCGGGUUGUAAAGCCCUUUUGUUGGGAAAGAAAAGCAGCAGGUUAAUACCCCGCUGUUCUGACGGUACCCAAAGAAUAAGCACCGGCUAACUUCGUG